rnacentral:rRNA from 1 species
UACAGAGGGGGCAAGCGUUGUUCGGAAUUACUGGGCGUAAAGGGCGCGUAGGCGGCCUGUUAAGUCGAACGUGAAAUCCCCGGGCUCAACCCGGGAACUGCGUCCGAUACUAGCAGGCUUGAAUCCGGGAGAGGGAUGUGGAAUUCCAGGUGUAGCAGUGAAAUGCGCAGAUAUCAGGAGGAACACCAACGGCGAAGGCAGCACUCUGGGCCGGUACUGACGCUGAGGAGCGAAAGCGUGGGGAGCAAACAGG